AUACGGGAGGCAGCAGUGAGGAAUAUUGGUCAAUGGGCGCAAGCCUGAACCAGCCAUGCCGCGUGCAGGAAGACGGUCCUAUGGAUUGUAAACUGCUUUUAUACAGGAAGAAACACCUCCACGUGUGGAGGCUUGACGGUACUGUAGGAAUAAGGAUCGGCUAACUCCGUGCCAGCAGCCGCGGUAAUACGGAGGAUCCAAGCGUUAUCCGGAAUCAUUGGGUUUAAAGGGUCCGUAGGCGGUCUUAUAAGUCAGUGGUGAAAGCCCAUCGCUCAACGAUGGAACUGCCAUUGAUACUGUAAGACUUGAAUACUUGUGAAGUAACUAGAAUAUGUAGUGUAGCGGUGAAAUGCUUAGAUAUUACAUGGAAUACCAAUUGCGAAGGCAGGUUACUAACAAGUUAUUGACGCUGAUGGACGAAAGCGUGGGGAGCGAACAGGAUUAGAUACCCUGGUAGU
rnacentral:rRNA from 1 species